UCCUACGGGACGCAGCAGUGAGGAAUAUUGGUCAAUGGGCGGGAGCCUGAACCAGCCAAGUCGCGUGAGGGAAGACGGUCCUAUGGAUUGUAAACCUCUUUAGGCGGGGAGCAAUGCCGGGCACGCGUGCCCGGAGGGAGAGUACCCGCAGAAUAAGCAUCGGCUAACACCGUGCCAGCAGCCGCGGUAAUACGGAGGAUGCGAGCGUUAUCCGGAUUUAUUGGGUUUAAAGGGUGCGUAGGCGGUCCGUUAAGUCAGCGGUAAAAUUGCUGGGCUCAACCCCGUCGAGCCGUUGAAAAUG
rnacentral:rRNA from 1 species